UUGGCAGCAGAACCUCCAGGUAUGAUUCACUCCUGGCACUGCCUUCUCUCUUCCCAGAUAGACCAGCCCUGGUAAACAGAAAGUCAGGGAGUGUGUGAUGAGGAGUGGCUACCAGUAAAGGAGGUGAGAGUUGAUGGGAGGGCCUUUGAUACCUUGAUGAAGUCCUGGGUUGAAGACACCAGUCUAGAAAACUGCCUGAGGCAUGUGGGGAGAAGCAUAAAGAUGCUGAGGAUCUGGAGGGGCUUGUGCACUACAGAGCCUGAAGCUGCUGGAAAAGUACUUGGGAUGACAUCUUCUAUAAGCCAGAAGCUUGUUCAGCACAGAGGGAGCGGAGGGAAGGGAGAGAUGAUAGUUAACUGA
ensembl:lncRNA